UACAGAGGGUGCAAGCGUUAAUCGGAAUUACUGGGCGUAAAGGGCCUGUAGGUGGUUUCUUAAGUUAGAUGUGAAAGCCCUGGGCUUAACCUGGGAACUGCAUCUAAAACUGGGUAACUAGAGUAUGGUAGAGGGAAGUGGAAUUUCUAGUGUAGCGGUGAAAUGCGUAGAUAUUAGAAAGAACACCAGUGGCGAAGGCGACUUCCUGGACCAAUACUGACACUGAGGGGCGAAAGCGUGGGGAGCAAACAGG
rnacentral:rRNA from 1 species